rnacentral:rRNA from 1 species
AUUGACCGCUGGCGGCAGGCCUAACACAUGCAAGUCGAGCGAGCGGCGGACGGGUGAGUAAUGUAUGGGGACUGCCCGAUAGAGGGGGAUCACUACUGGAAAAGGUAGCUACUACAGCAUACUAUCGGAUAACCCAUAUAGGAUUAGCUAGUAGGUGAGGUAAUGGCUAACCUAGGCGACGAGCCCUAGCUGGUCUGAGAGGAUGAUCAGCCACACUGGGAGUGAGAAACGGCCCAGACUCCUACGGAGGUAGCAGUGGGGAAUAUUUCACAAUGGGCGCAAGCCUGAUGCAGCCAUGCCGCGUGUAUGAAGAAGGCCCUAGGGUUGUAAAGUACUUUCAGUCGGGAGGCGUUACCGACAGAAGAAGCACAGGCUAACUCCGUGCCAGCCGCCGCGGUAAUUC